GUGCCAGCAGCCGCGGUAAUUCCAGCUCCAAUAGCGUAUAUUAAAGUUGUUGCAGUUAAAAAGCUCGUAGUUGGAUCUCGGAUCCGGGCGAGCGGUCCGCCUCGCGGCGGUUUACUGCUCGAUGGCGACAGUUCGGGGCGGCCGUUUCGGCGGUUCGUCACGGCUGGCGUCGUUCCCGGUCUCUCACCCUCUGGACGCCCGUCGGUGCUCUUGACUGCAGUGCCGGCGGCGGCCAGGACGUUUACUUUGAAAAAAUUAGAGUGUUCCAAGCAGGCGCGUUCCGCCCGAAUAAUGGUGCAUGGAAUAAUGGAAUAGGACCUCGGUUCUAUUCGUUGGUUUUCGGAACUAGAGGUAAUGAUUAAGAGGGAC
rnacentral:rRNA from 1 species